rnacentral:lncRNA from 1 species
UACAGAGACAAAACCAUAUCUGAAUUUAAGGAGUCAAAACCAUAUCCAUUUUUCUCUCUCAGUUACCGGCCAUAUUUUUUCUUUUUCUUUUUUUUUUUAUCAAAUUACUAGUUGGAUUAUGGAUAUGAUUAAAGACCAAGUAUACUUCAGUUGCCUAAUUUUACUCAUGUUAGAGUGCUGCUCAGUCCACUCGUGAGGAUAAAGCUGCUGCCCAUCAACUAAUAGGAGCGACUUAAAAGCAAUCGACGGCUGAAAUUGAACCAACCAGCGACGGUUCUUGCGGCAAGGACGCCGAUCAUUUUUUCCGCGUUUCAAUGCACAAAUAUAGAAUACGCUACGUAUUAGCGCCUAAAAUGAGUAAAAACUCCACAAAAACAUACGUUUCCAACCAAUUAAUCAAAAAAGGACAAAUGAGGAAACUGACUCU